rnacentral:rRNA from 1 species
AACAAGCCAAGAUGAAGUUUUCGGAUUGAUUCUUGGGGAGUUAGUGGCGGACGGGUGAGUAACGCGUGGGUAACCUACCCUUUUCACGGGGACAACAGUUGGAAACGACUGCUAAUACCGGAUAAUCUUAUUGGACCACAUGGUCCGAUGAGCAAAGAUGGCCUCUGUAUAUGCUAUCGGGAAAGGAUGGACCCGCGUCUGAUUAGGUAGUUGGUGAGGUAACGGCUCACCAAGCCCGCGAUCAGUAGCCGGCCUGAGAGGGUGGCCGGCCACACUGGGACUGAGACACGGCCCAGACUCCUACGGGAGGCAGCAGUGGGGAAUCUUCCGCAAUGGGCGAAAGCCUGACGGAGCAACGCCGCGUGAAUGAAGAAGACCUUCGGGUCGUAAAGUUCUGUCUUUAGGGAAGAACAACUAUAGUGCUAAUACCGCUAUAGUCUGACGGUACCUAAGGAGGAAGCUCCGGCUAACUACGUGCCAGCAGCCGCGGGUAAUACGUAGGGAGCAAGCGUUGUCCGAAUUACUGGGCGUAAAGGGCGUGUAGGCGGAAUUUAAGUAAGGUGUGAAACUCAGGCUCACCUGGAGACUGCACUUUAACUGGAUUCUUGAGGCAGGAAGGAAA